rnacentral:lncRNA from 1 species
UCAGCUUUCAUUUUUCCAUAAUUCAUCUUUCUCCUCCUUCCAUCAUUCUUUCUCCCAUGGCUUUCCAUAAUUCUUUAACUUCCAUUUUUGAAAAUGAAUAUCAACCAAUUGAUUAAUGAGAAUGAAAUUAAUUCCUUCAUCUUUCUCUCAUAUCAUGAAAUUAAUUCCUUCAUCUUUCUCUCAUAUCAUCAUUUUCAUUUUGUGAAAAAUUCUUCAACUUUCCUUUUUGAGGAUUCAUUCACUGAUAAUGGGGGUGGGGUUCAACAGGUAAUUGGGGUUGAGAGAUUAGAGAAGAUAUUGGGG